rnacentral:sRNA from 1 species
AUUCGAAUUUUUUGUUUGAAAUAUUCACAUGUUAAAAUGGGAUUCUUUUGAAUUUCUGUUUGUUUGGUAUGUAUUGGAAUAAAGUGAUGUUUGCGUAUAACUAAUUGUCACUUUUAAUAAUUCUUAAUCGCUGGAAAAAUGAAUCGAUUCAUACAAAUUAUUGUUUUGUAUCUGUGGUCUGACUAAAAAUGGUAAUAUCGUUCCACUUUUGCUGAAUAGCAUCAUUAUUGUUGAAAUUAAAUAUUUGAAUCUAGGUUGAUCAGACGUGUCAAAAUUUUCGAUUCUAUAUGAUAGAUAAUAUAUAAGGUACGAAAACAUAUAAACACUCAUGACUGUCAUUGUUAUUUCUGUAUUUUGCUACCAAACUUGUUACGUUAAUUCCCUAUCGAUUAUUAUUAUUAUUAGUCAUUAUCACAAGCAAUAUUAUAUUGAGUAUUUACCAAAGUUUAAAUGACAGCAUCCAUAAAUGUCAGCUAAGAUGCUUUUUAAUUAUAUGAAGAGAAAAAAAUAACAUUUGCAAAGUCGUAUGUCGAUCAAUACGUGUUAAUUAUUGUACAAAUAAAAUUUGUACAAAAUAUCUCUCCGGAAAUUUAUAAAGAACUUCUUUUAUUUUUCCACACAAAUAACAUAUUUUUCUUAAAACAGAAGCCAGUGUUAUGAAUGCAGUGCGUUUCUCUGUGUUUUCAGUCAGUACGUACUACAACAAACUAUGUAUGCAAGCUAUUGACGAUAUUCACGUCCAUUAGUGCAUUGCUCGCUCCAGCCAGACAGAAUAUUAUUAAUCUGGAAACGAUAGAGUGGCGAUCUGUAAGGCUGUAAGCACAUUCUUUAUCUUGCUAGUUGGUUGUCGUGUCUAAUUGCCGUUUCCAUCAUAUUUUAUUUUUCAAAACAAAUCGCCUGAGUCAUGCUGAAAACAUUGCUGCGGAGAGUCGGGCUUGGUUCAUAGAUAGAUAACUCUCGCCGAAUCAUCAGCGAUUAUCUUAGGUGUACAUUUUCCAUACCUUUAAUAAGAAUUAUUUAGGAGGGAGACGUGUUUAAAAAAAAAAAAAAAGAGAACGUCUAUCGUUGCAGCACUGAAACGUCAGAUUUCGCUGUUUUGUUUACAUCCUGAAUAUCGUGCCUUCUUUGUCCGUGGUGUUAGAGGAAUUAGGUCAGAUGGUCCCUCGUGGGACGGAUUAGGGAAAUCUCAUGCCGAGGUUAGCUUCCGUGUCAAAUGGCAAAGCAAACAUAUGUGAGGGUAUCACAUUUAUUGAUAGAAAACAUGUGUAAAAAUACAAAUAAACAAAUCACCACGUCGUCUCCCCAUUCUCAGCAUGGGGUGUGACG